rnacentral:siRNA from 1 species
AUGACCCACAAAUGAUUGUGUGAC